AAUGAACGCUGGCGGCGUGCCUAAUACAUGCAAGUCGAACGAACAGACGAGAAGCUUGUGCCUCUGACGUUAGCGGCGGGCGGGUGAGUAACAAGUGGAUAACCUACUUAUAAGACUGGGAUAACUACGGGAAGCCGCAGCUGCUAACGGCUAAUAUGUCGAACCGGUUGGUGCAGUAGUGAAAGUAGGUUUUGGCGUUACAUUUAGACGGUUCCGGGCCGCAUUAGCUAGUUGGUAAAGUAACGGCCUACCAAGGCCACGAUGCGUAGCCGACCUGAGAGGGUGAUCAGCCACACUGGAACUGAGACACGGUCCAGACUCCUACGGGAGGCAGCAGUAGGGAAUAUUCCGCAAUGGGCGAAAGCCUGACGGAGCAACGCCGCGUGAGUGAUGAAGGUCUUCGGAUCGUAAAACUCUGUUAUUAGGGAAGAACAAAAGUAUAAGAAACUAUGCACGUCUUGACGGUACCUAAUCAGAAAGCCACGGCUAACUACGUG
rnacentral:rRNA from 1 species